UUGCAAUUAAAGUUUCGGCGGUAUAUGAUUGGUGUGCGUUUGAUUAGCUAGUUGGUAGGGUAACGGCCUACCAAGGCGACGAUCAAUAGCUGGCGUGAGAGCGCGACCAGCCACACUGGAACUGUAGACACGGUCCAGACUCCUACGGGAGGCAGCAGUAGGGAAUAUUGGACAAUGGAGGAAACUCUGAUCCAGCCAUGCCCGCGUGAUAGAUGAAGGCCCCUCUGGGUUGUAAAUAUCUUUUAAUCUGGGAAGAAACACUCCUAUUCUUAGGAACUUGACGGUACCAGAGGAAUAAGCACCGGCUAACUCCGUG
rnacentral:rRNA from 1 species